rnacentral:rRNA from 1 species
UACGGGGGGGGCAAGCGUUGUCCGGAAUUAUUGGGCGUAAAGCGCGCGCAGGCGGUCCUUUAAGUCUGAUGUGAAAGCCCACGGCUCAACCGUGGAGGGUCAUUGGAAACUGGGGGACUUGAGUACAGAAGAGAAGAGUGGAAUUCCGCGUGUAGCAGUGAAAUGCGUAGAGAUGCGGAGGAACACCGAUGGCGAAGGCAGCCCCCUGGGUCGACACUGACGCUCAGGCACGAAAGCGUGGGGAGCAAACAGG